ACUACGGGUGGCAGCAGUGGGGAAUAUUGCACAAUGGGGGAAACCCUGAUGCAGCAACGCCGCGUGAAGGAAGACGGUUUUAGGAUUGGAAACUUCUGUUCUUAGUGAAGAAGAAUGACGGUAGCUAAGGAGCAAGCCACGGCUAACCACGUGCAAGCAGCCGCGGUAAUACGGAGGUGGCAAGCGUUGUCCGGAAUUACUGGGUGUAAAGGGAGCGCAGGCGGGAAGCCAAGUCAGCUGUGAAAACUACGGGCUUAAAUUGUAGACUGCAGUUGAAACUGGUUUUCUUGAGUGAAGUAGAGGGUGGCGGAAUUCGGGGUGUAGCGGUGAAAUGCGUAGAUAUUCGGAGGAACACCGGUGGCGAAGGCGGCCAACUGGGCUUUAACUGACGCUGAGGCUCGAAAGUGUGGGGAGCAAACAGGAUUAGAUACCCGGGUAGUC
rnacentral:rRNA from 1 species